CCUACGGGCGACAGCAGUGGGGAAUAUUGGACAAUGGGGGCAACCCUGAUCCAGCCAUGCCGCGUGUGUGAAGAAGGCCCUCGGGUUGUAAAGCACUUUCAGUGAGGAAGAACGCCUGGUGGUUAAUACCCAUCAGGAAAGACAUCACUCACAGAAGAAGCACCGGCUAACUCCGUGCCAGCAGCCGCGGUAAUACGGAGGGUGCGAGCGUUAAUCGGAAUUACUGGGCGUAAAGCGCGCGUAGGUGGCUUGAUAAGCCGGUUGUGAAAGCCCCGGGCUCAACCUGGGAACGGCAUCCGGAACUGUCAAGCUAGAGUGCAGGAGAGGAAGGUAGAAUUCCCGGUGUAGCGGUGAAAUGCGUAGAGAUCGGGAGGAAUACCAGUGGCGAAGGCGGCCUUCUGGACUGACACUGACACUGAGGUGCGAAAGCGUGGGUAGCAAACAGGAUUAGAUACCCUAGUAGUC
rnacentral:rRNA from 1 species